rnacentral:rRNA from 1 species
UGGGGAAUAUUGGACAAUGGGCGAAAGCCUGAUCCAGCCAUGCCGCGUGUGUGAAGAAGGUCUUCGGAUUGUAAAGCACUUUAAGUUGGGAGGAAGGGCAGUAAGCUAAUACCUUGCUGUUUUGACGUUACCGACAGAAUAAGCACCGGCUAACUCUGUGCCAGCAGCCGCGGUAAUACAGAGGGUGCAAGCGUUAAUCGGAAUUACUGGGCGUAAAGCGCGCGUAGGUGGUUCGUUAAGUUGGAUGUGAACUCCCCGGGCUCAACCUGGGAACUGCAUCCAAAACUGGCGAGCUAGAGUAUGGUAGAGGGUGGUGGAAUUUCCUGUGUAGCGGUGAAAUGCGUAGAUAUAGGAAGGAACACCAGUGGCGAAGGCGACCACCUGGACUGAUACUGACACUGAGGUGCGAAAGCGUGGGGAGCAAACAGG